rnacentral:lncRNA from 1 species
CAAGUCUCCAUCUUAACUGGUUUUGAAAUCCUAUCCAAAAUGAAUCCUCCGUCCUUGGAGCCCAAUGAGCAAACUUCUUUCUACUGCACCCUCCUUGGAGACGCCACACAUCAGCUCCCCAGUGCAGUGGUUCCUCUUUGCUGUCCAAUGUGCAUACAGGAAGGAUUUCCGACACCCGGUGCAAGUGGAGAAACUUGCAUGGUCCAGUUUUCCUUUAGCAAGAACAAGUCCGGCACAAUGGCGUGUGGGAUGAUGGACAUGUGGCAGCAGCGCUGGACACAGUGUGUUGCAUCAGUGAAAAGUGCACGCUGCUUGAUGUUGCAACCCUCCAACCAGCAAUUCCCAACUCAGGUUUUCACUUUGAACCAGUUUUCUUUAUUCUAU